rnacentral:rRNA from 1 species
UACGUAGGGAGCGAGCGUUGUCCGGAAUUACUGGGUGUAAAGGGUGCGUAGGCGGGCAAUCAAGUCAGGCGUGAAAUCUAUGGGCUUAACCCAUAGUCUGCGCUUGAAACUGAAUGUCUUGAGUGAAGUAGAGGUAAGCGGAAUUCCCGGUGUAGCGGUGAAAUGCGUAGAGAUCGGGAGGAACACCAGUGGCGAAGGCGGCUUACUGGGCUUUUACUGACGCUGAGGCACGAAAGCAUGGGUAGCAAACAGG